GACGGAGGGUGCAAGCGUUGUUCGGAAUUACUGGGCGUAAAGCGCGCGCAGGCGGUCUUCUAAGUCCUUUGUGAAAUCCCGGAGCUCAACUCCGGAUAUGCAGAGGAUACUGGGAGACUAGAGACCGGUAGAGGUUAGUGGAAUUCCUGGUGUAGCGGUGGAAUGCGUAGAUAUCAGGAGGAACAUCAGUGGCGAAGGCGACUAGCUGGGCCGGAUCUGACGCUCAUGUGCGAAAGCGUGGGGAGCAAACAGG
rnacentral:misc_RNA from 1 species